rnacentral:lncRNA from 1 species
GCACAGCCCCGGGGAGCAGACCUUGGCCUCAGCACCCGGCCAGAGAGCCCAGGCGAGAAUCAGAGGGGACCCUGCACUGACUGAGAGCCUCCAAGGGAAGCCAGACUUAAUGGGAUGGAAACACCUCUGAACUUAGUCUCAAAAAGUCCAACGUUUGACGUUUAGCUCCGCUUGAUUUACUGUAUCUUGGGUAAGUUAACAGUACUGUGGGAA